rnacentral:misc_RNA from 1 species
CAGAGUUGCAAAACUCCAAACCAUUGUGAACUUACCUUCGCCGUUGCUUCGGCGGGCGGCCCGGGCCCUGCCCGGCGCCCCUCGGCCCCUCUCGGGGCGCCCGCCGGAGGUAAACCAAACUCUGAUUUUAUUGUGAAUCUCUGAGGGGCGAAAGCCCGAAAACAAAAUGAAUCA